GACGAACGCUGGCGGCGUGCUUAACACAUGCAAGUCGAACGGUGAAGCCUUCGGGUGGAUCAGUGGCGAACGGGUGAGUAACACGUGAGCAAUCUGCCCUUGACUCUGGGAUAACUUCGGGAAACCGGAGCUAAUACCGGAUAUGACAUCUGGCCGCAUGGUCUGGGUGUGGAAAGAUUUAUCGGUCAAGGAUGAGCUCGCGGCCUAUCAGCUUGUUGGUGGGGAAUGGCCCACCAAGGCGACGACGGGUAGCCGGCCUGAGAGGGCGACCGGCCACACUGGGACUGAGACACGGCCCAGACUCCUACGGGAGGCAGCAGUGGGGAAUAUUGCGCAAUGGGCGGAAGCCUGACGCAGCGA
rnacentral:rRNA from 1 species